AUGUCUAACGGAGGAACAAAUGUUCAGAGCAGAAACUCAAAUGCGAGGAAGAGACCCACUAAAAACUCUCCAUCCAGUCCUUCUCCCAGCGAUCCGCUCGCAGUAAAUCCAGCUCUGAAUGAACUGAGACUNNNNNNNNNNNNNNNNNNNNNNNNNNNNNNNNNNNNNNNNNNNNNNNNNNNNNNNNNNNNNNNNNNNNNNNNNNNAAACAAAAUCAAAAAGUUCAAGACCUCGUGGAGAGAUUUGGGAGGGGUUUUGGUGGCCUUUGACAACACAAACCCUACAAACCCAGAACAAGUGAGUCGACUCCUGCAGAAAGUGAACGAGCUGCUGGCUGUGAAUGAGAACCGUCACUUCACUAAUGAAGUUACAGAAGUAAUGCAAACAGCCCAGAAGAUAAAAGAAGAGAGAAUACAAGCAGAAACGGCUGAAAGAAUGAGGAAAAUAAAGCAGGAGGUCAGAAAAAUGGCCGAUGCUCGUUGGCGUGCAUUUAUUUCUGACAUCAGUGAAGAGAGGCGCAACGCAAAGAGAAGAAUUAAACGGAUACAACGCAGGAUUGAUCAGAUCGAGACGGAUACAGAGAUGGAAGAACAGAAUGUGCGGCUGAUCCCAGCAAGACUGAAGCGGUUCGAAGUAUCUCUGAAGAAGCAGCUGAAGAACAUGAGAAGAAUGCAGAAAAGAGAAAUGAAAAAGGAGAGGAAGAGAAUGGAAAGAAAGGAGAAAGAAAAGAAGAUCUGGUUUCGAGAAGAGAUGCAGAGGAGACUGAGUGAAGCAAGAGAGAAGAGUCUAUUUUCUUCACAUAAUAUUCUGACUAAACUUACUUGCUAUUUUCUUGGCCUUGGAUCUGGAUUUGUACCUACACUCUUAGCAUGUGUGUUCCCUCCAGCAGUGGAAACCGGAUUGUUGGCAAAGUUUUUGUCCAACUUGUUGGACUCUGGAGCAGCAGAAAGUGGGAGUUUAUUUGGGAAGGUUGCUGGAGUUGCAGUGAAAGCUGUAUCUGUAAAGUUGGCAUCGAGGACAAACUGCUGCAUUCAGUGACUGAUUAUUGAUCGAGUUCACAGACCAAGCUUUAUUAUAGCCAGCUUUUUUACAGACUGUAAAGAGUGUCAAAUCACACGUGCUCACUUCAUCAGCAGUCUUGGGUCUAAAGUAUUUUUCCCAUUCAUUUCCUCCUUAAGGAUUUUUUUUAAGAAGAGUGAAACAAUGAAGCAUUGCAAAUGACUGAAUCACAUUUGCUGUAUUUGACACAGUGUGAGAACUGACCACAAAGUGGCGCUAAACUACAUGAAUCCACAUUUGUGCUUUUGGGACCAUUAUCUUGAAUGGAAGCUCAUCUAAGAGUUACCUUCAGUUUUUAUUAGCCCAUCCUUCGUGUAAUUAUCUCUCUGUUUUGGCUUCUUUUUAAUAAUGGCAAGCUGUCACCUGGUCCUUUUUUAAAAAACCAUCAAAAGAGCAUAUUAAAAUUCUUUAAUAUAUGGUUCACAGUGUCAACGCAGUGUCGCUCUUGUUAUAUGAAUUAAAAGCAUUAAUAUAUUUCAUUAAAUCUAUAUAAUUUCCUCCUGAUUGCAUCAAAUUUAACAGUUUAGCGGAAUGUUCAUUGAUUUGUAGCUACACUGUUCCUCUGUUAGUACAUUUUACUGAAUUGUAUGCACUAAAAUGGUUUAUCUAAAUAUAGGGAAGGCAUAUUGUGCAAAGUAGCAUAGUUAAUAAAUAUUAAUUAUUAUACUACA
ensembl:lncRNA